GGUGCUGUGGCUUAGUUGGUUAAAGCCCCUGUCCUGUAAACAGGAGAUCCUGGGUUCAAAUCCCAGCAGUGCUU
rnacentral:tRNA from 1 species